AGAUUUUUAAGGGGAAAAAAAAAUUCAUUUUAUUACUUUCUUUUGUGGAACUAAAAGUUUCCAUUCAGGAAAUGUUUCCAGAGAAAAAAUACAUAAUGAUUUGAAUGUCUGGACAAUUUAGUCUUCAACCUCCCAGCUGCACGUAAAUGACCUUAGGUGUGAUCAGUUUGUCCCUGAAGUAGGUAAAGUGCUCCAUGCUGUUUGUCCCCACCGAGUGUUUGCUCAGCAGACCCUUUCUUGCUUGUGGCAUAUUCCCACAGCGCUGACCCGGUCUGUGGCCGCAGGUGCCACUGAGGAUGGUGACGAGCGUCCACAUCAGGUGCCCGGGCUUCCGCCGUCGGGCCGAGGGGUUUGGUUCGCUGGUUCUUCAUCCUCACUGUUGGUCUCUGUUUUCAGGUUUGCCUUGGCUCCUAAUUAUGCUUCUUGACCUCUCAUCAACCCAGGAGGUCACAGGGCCUUUGUCAUUGGCUGUGGGGAGCCCCAGUGUCCUCCCCAUCUCUGUGGCCAUCGGUGCCCUCUGUCACCUUGGAUGCCCUUUGUCACUGUGCAACCGAUGUGACCCAGGUUCCCUUGGGUGGUGCUGCACCAAAGAGGACCAGCUCUUCCUCUUCAAAAGAGCCCAGAGAGCUUCUGAGUGCCUGGAGGGCAUGGUCAAGAAUCUGUUUUCGAAGACUGAAUUUCCAGCUCUGGAAGCUAGUUAACUUCUCACGGCUCAGUUUUCAUGCCUAGAAAAGAGACAGGCCCCUUCCUCCCCCUGCCCCCUGCCACAGUGCUCAGGCGGCAUCUGAGGGGCAAGUGGGGGUACAGCACACUGGCACCGGGCUUGGUGCUUUCUGUUCGUCAUUUCGUCCCCUCAGACACUUGUGUGAGGAGGCUUGUCAGCCCUGUUUCACAGGCAAUGAAACUGCUCCAGAAAGGCUAAAGAGCUGCCAUGGGCAGCAGCCAGGAAGUGUCCGAGCUGGACCCAUGAGCCCUCAACGUCGAGGUCACAGGAUGUUUUGGCCAUUGUGAUCUGCUCUUCCUGCUUCCAGAGAGAACAGGAACAAAAGAAAAUGUUCCAGACCCUUGGCAGGUUAGAUGGGGCGGUCCUGAGUGCAAACCCAAUUAGUAGACCAGAGGUGCCUGCCAGUGCCAGAGGGAGGGGCGCAUGCCUCACGGAGGCCCAGGGGUCCCCAGGGCCCAGACCUCUGCUCCGAGCGGAUAGGCCCGAGUGGCCCUGCCACAGGGGGUCAUGCAGAUUCUAUCGGGUGACCCCCGUAGGUCCCGAUGGGGCUGUCUGUGUGGACAGGGCUUCUUUACCUCCAUCCAUAGCUUUUCUACACAAUGGGAAUUGACUCUGGAGUCCUCUGAUGCUGGUUUCUUGGUGGUGUCCAGCCCUGGUUGGGGUCACAGCACACUCUGCCCAUCAUACCACUCAGAGCAGCCUCGGCCCCAGCCCGCGAGUGACUGAGCCUCAUCUGGGCAUCCCAGAGGGCUGUCUUGUUUUGCCUUUUUUAUCAUUUGGCACUUUGGCUUAUCAUCUAGUCUGUGAUCUGAUACUUCCUGUUCCCCCACCAGCAGGUCAUAGAAGUUGUCCAAUUUUAAGAGCAUGUCGCAUCUAGAGAAAUAAACACAUCUUCCUGUUGGCGUCAA